CGGGACGUAGCGCAGCUUGGUAGCGCGCAGCGUUCGGGACGCUGAGGUCGUGGGUUCGAAUCCCGCCGUCCCGA
rnacentral:tRNA from 1 species